GACGAACGCUGGCGGCGUGCUUAACACAUGCAAGUCGAACGAUGAAGCCUAGCUUGCUAGGUGGAUUAGUGGCGAACGGGUGAGUAAUACGUGAGUGACCUACCUUUGACUCUGGGAUAAGCCUGGGAAAUUGGGUCUAAUACCGGAUACGACCAAUCUCCGCAUGGGGUGUUGGUGGAAAGCGUUAUGGAGUGGUUUUAGAUGGGCUCACGGCCUAUCAGCUUGUUGGUGAGGUAAUGGCUUACCAAGGCGACGACGGGUAGCCGGCCUGAGAGGGCGACCGGCCACACUGGGACUGAGACACGGCCCAGACUCCUACGGGAGGCAGCAGUGGGGAAUAUUGCACAAUGGGCGCAAGCCUGAUGCAGCGACGCCGCGUGAGGGAUGACGGCCUUCGGGUUGUAAACCUCUGUUAGCAUCGAAGAAGCGAAAGUGACGGUAGGUGCAGAGAAAGCGCCGGCUAACUACGUGCCAGCAGCCGCGGUAAUACGUAGGGCGCGAGCGUUGUCCGGAAUUAUUGGGCGUAAAGAGCUUGUAGGCGGUUGGUCGCGUCUGCUGUGAAAGGCUGGGGCUUAACCCUGGUUUUGCAGUGGGUACGGGCUAACUAGAGUGCAGUAGGGGAGACUGGAAUUCCUGGUGUAGCGGUGGAAUGCGCAGAUAUCAGGAGGAACACCGAUGGCGAAGGCAGGUCUCUGGGCUGUAACUGACGCUGAGAAGCGAAAGCAUGGGGAGCGAACAGGAUUAGAUACCCUGGUAGUCCAUGCCGUAAACGUUGGGCACUAGGUGUGGGGGACAUUCCACGUUUUCCGCGCCGUAGCUAACGCAUUAAGUGCCCCGCCUGGGGAGUACGGCCGCAAGGCUAAAACUCAAAGAAAUUGACGGGGCCCGCACAAGCGGCGGAGCAUGCGGAUUAAUUCGAUGCAACGCGAAGAACCUUACCAAGGCUUGACAUAUACUGGACUGCGUCAGAGAUGGCGUUUCCCUUCGGGGCUGGUAUACAGGUGGUGCAUGGUUGUCGUCAGCUCGUGUCGUGAGAUGUUGGGUUAAGUCCCGCAACGAGCGCAACCCUCGUUCUAUGUUGCCAGCACGUGAUGGUGGGGACUCAUAGGAGACUGCCGGGGUUAACUCGGAGGAAGGUGGGGAUGACGUCAAAUCAUCAUGCCCCUUAUGUCUUGGGCUUCACGCAUGCUACAAUGGCCGGUACAGAGGGUUGCGAUACUGUGAGGUGGAGCUAAUCCCUAAAAGCCGGUCUCAGUUCGGAUUGGGGUCUGCAACUCGACCCCAUGAAGUCGGAGUCGCUAGUAAUCGCAGAUCAGCAACGCUGCGGUGAAUACGUUCCCGGGCCU
rnacentral:rRNA from 1 species